rnacentral:lncRNA from 1 species
AAAUUCAAGGAUCACACAUUUGCCUUUAAUUAUCUAUACGGAAAUUGCUGUACUCGUGAAUAUUAGCACCGACUGUUAUCGACGGCUUACUUUACACUAGUAAGUUUGUCUUAUGGGUAAUUGUUUUUCGCUGUUGUUUCGUUGCUGUCGGGUGGACAAAUACAUGAAAUUUCCGUGCCAUCAUCAAAUAUAUUAAUGGCUAUAUAUCGGGUCAUUCAAAC